rnacentral:lncRNA from 1 species
UGUUACGAACAUAGAAAUCGAAUAAUUUAUCUUUUAUUCAAUAGUAAUUUAUAUGUGAUUAUGUUAGUGGUUUGUAGUCAACAAGAAAAAGAAUUUAGUUACUUGAAUGGAAAGGAAAGAAGAGAGAAUAAAGAAAAUUAAAAUCGAUUAUGAUUGGGGAUUGAAGAAUACGCGCGUGGAGGAUGAGUGUGGUAAAGUGGUACUUGGUAGUGUAAUGGAAUGGGAAAAUGAUAGUACUUGAUAAAAAAUUAAAAAAAAAAAAAAGUUUUGGUUGUAACUGGGCCAUUAGAAUCCUAUGCAGUAGCUGAUAGUCAUGAUGGUGUAAUUAACGGCAUGAAGAUGGCAGGACACGUGAAAACAUGCAGAGUAUGGGACCAAUUAUUUAUUUUAAGGAUGGGAAUCUUCACAUGGUACAAAGGAAUACAGUGCUAUUGUACAACUUCAUCCCAGACCCCCUUUUUCCUCUCUUAAGUUAAAACUUUGAUGGACUCAUUUCUCUAAUCUUUUUAUGACCUGAUGGGAUUUUUCAAUUUAUUGAUUCCACAUGUUGGCCCUACUUUUCCAUGUUUAUUUUGGAUCUAACAUCUCCAACAAUAAGAAUAUUUCCCCCACCUUUCAGGAUUUACUUUCCACUUUCUCAUCCUUUUCAUUUUUC